AACAAUGAAAAACAUUUUAAUCUGAAUUUACUUAUAUACCCCUCCACCAUUUUUCUGACGGAAAUAAAAAAUAACUCCAUUUUGAUUCUCUUCUCUUACUGUCUUGUCUUCUGUUAGUUCUUUUGGUAAUGGUAAUGGAGGAACAAACAUUAGCUUCUUCUUCUUCAGGUGCUGCUGUGACUACUCAGCACGAUCUAUCGGGUUUGGUUGGUUCUGGUGGAGCUCUGUACAAGAUGGUGGCUCCGGCUAAGCUACCGAUCUCAAGGUCGGCUUGUAUUACCAUCCCACCUGGGCUUAGUCCUUCUUCUUUCUUGGAGUCUCCUGUUCUUCUUUCAGAUGUUAAGGCGGAGCCUUCUCCAACUACUGGUUCUCUCAUUAAAUGUCAAGCAGUGCACGCCUCUGUUGCUUCUAGUACAUAUUCGGCAACUGAUAUGUGUUCUAUCGCAUUUGAUGAAAGAAAUCCCAGCUGCUUUGAGUUUAGACCCCAUCCUAGAUCAAAUAUGGCUCCUGCAGAUUUUAACCAUCAAAGAAGUGAACAAUCUCUGAAGAUCCAAGGUCAAUACCAGACUAUAUCAUUCAAUUCAUCAGCUUCAGUUAAGAAAGAGAUGGCAGGCUCCUCAAAUGAGUUGAGUCUCUCAGUACCUGUUCAUGCAGCUACUUCUAUGGCUAGUGCUGCUGCUGAAGUUGAUGUAGAUGAAUUAAACCAGACAGGGAACCCAAAUAGUGGGAUACAGUUAGGGCAGUCUGAUCAUGGAGGAGGUGGUCCAUCGGUGCCAUCUGAUGAUGGAUACAACUGGAGAAAGUAUGGACAGAAACAUGUUAAAGGAAGUGAAUUUCCACGCAGUUAUUACAAAUGUACACAUCCAAAUUGUGAAGUCAAAAAGCUGUUCGAGCGAUCUCAUGAUGGACUGAUUACAGAGAUAAUAUACAAAGGUACACACGAUCAUCCUAAACCUCAACCAAGCCGCCGAUGUUCUUUGGGUAAUAUCAUGUCUGGCCAAGAAGAAAGAUCCGACAAGGUCUCAUCUAUGACUGGUAGAGAUGACAAGCCUUCCAGCAUGUAUGGCCAGAUGGCUCAUAGUAUUGAGCCAAAUAGUACUGCAGAUGUAACUUCUGUCACAGCUAAUGAUGAUAAUGUAGAUGAGGUUGACGAUGAUGAUCCAUUCUCCAAGCGAAGGAAAAUGGAUGGUGGGGUUGAUAUCACGCCUGUGGUGAAGCCAAUCCGGGAACCACGCGUUGUUGUUCAGACUCUGAGUGAAGUUGACAUACUGGAUGAUGGAUAUCGAUGGCGCAAAUAUGGGCAAAAAGUAGUGAGAGGAAAUCCUAAUCCUAGGAGUUAUUAUAAGUGCACAAAUGCUGGUUGCCCUGUUAGAAAACACGUUGAGAGGGCAUCUCAUGAUCCAAAAGCUGUUAUAACAACGUAUGAGGGAAAACACAAUCAUGAUGUACCUACUGCAAGGACCAGUAGUCAUGAUACAGCAGGAGCAGUAGCUAUGAGUGGGCCAUCAAGGAUUAGAUCAGAAGAAAAUGAUGCCGUUAGCCUUGAUCUUGGAGUUGGGAUUAGGUCUGCUCCUGAAAAUAGUUCGAAUGACCAUCAGCAAUUGCAUUCUGAGCUGGUGCAAAGCCAUGGUGGUUCUAGUUUCAAAUUGGUUCAAGCAACUCCAAUGACAGCAUAUUAUGGUGUUCUAAAUGGUGGCAUGAGUCAGUACAUAUCUAGAGAAAAUCCAAGUGAAAGUCGAGUUGAAAUUACACCCCUAAAUCAUUCUUAUGCAUUUCCAAGGAGCAUGGGGAAGAUACUAACAGGUCCAUGAAUCUGUUAACAAUGAAGGUGACAAGAAAUAAAACAUGGACAGGAUUUCUCUUUUCCAACUUUUUUGGCUGGUAAAAGAAAAGGAAACUGUUGUAAAACAUGCUCUUGAAAUGGAAUUUGUUAUAAUAUAUGUUUUCCAUCUUGUCUCAGCUUCUUAGAGAACUUUCUGAUUAGUAUAGUCAGUGACAGAUCCAAGAUUUUUCAGGAUUUUUUUUUCGGAAGUGUCUACUUAUAAUUUAUAUAAAAAACUGUUGAUGAAUUUAUCAAUUUUGUUUACGGAAAAACAAUUUUCACGGGAAAAAUUUUGAGGGUGUUUACGGAACCAUAAACCCUGUAGUAAAAAGGUGGAUCCGGCCCGAGUAUAGUGUAUACCUGUAUUUUUCUUGACCAUUGCCUCUCAGAUAAUGUGCCUCAAAUCAAAGUUUUGCUUACACGUUUUGAUGAAUGAUUCUCAUACAUUAUGUAAAAAAAUGAUUGCUAGAGGCUUGUUUGAGAACUUGAGAUGAGCAAGUGAUUGACCAAACGUGAAGAAUCCAAGUUCAAGAAGAUUGACCUUUGUUGUCCAGAUUGUUGAUUCAAGGGAGAGAUUCAAUUUGCGGACAACUUGUUCCUGUUGCUUGGAUACAAAAGGACAAAACAAGCUAUAAUUUCUCGUUUGGGGAUGCAUCAGCCACUUGUUUUUGGUGCAUGUGAAUUGUGAACCAUUCUGGAAAGAACAUUUUAUAACAAAAUAAAAUAAAAAAAAACAUAUUUAAUACUUUUCACAUUUUGUAAUCUGCUAGUCUUUAUGUGAGUGUCUAGAUGACCUUUUUAUCCCUUCACAACCAGAGUUACCCUAAUGCCACAAUGGAAGAUCAAAGGGUCCUGAGAAAAGCCUAUGAGCAACAUAAGAGACAUCCAAGAAGCAUGGUAGAUGGAAAGGAGCUGUUACUAUUUUAUAGCACUACAAUGGCCUGCUGCAACAGAAAACUGAAGCAAGUGCCCGAGCUUUUUGUAAAGAUACCAGUUGUGAAGCCUGCAGAUAAUUCAUUCAAGAUUCUGCCAUGGAAUUUACCAUGAAAAAUGGGAUUAGAUUGAGUACAGCACUGCAUGGUUUCUUUCAAGUUAAAGAAGCUAAAGAUCUCCGUAAUAGUUUGCAAGGUUAUUGCUGGGAGGAUUGCCAAUACCAUUGAUGGGGUAUCCGAGAAGUGUCACUUGAUUU